rnacentral:rRNA from 1 species
UACGGGGGGGGCAAGCGUUGUUCGGAAUUACUGGGCGUAAAGGGCUCGUAGGCGGCCAGCUAAGUCAGACGUGAAAUCCCCAGGCUCAACCUGGGAACUGCGUCUGAUACUGGAUGGCUUGAAUCCGGGAGAGGGAUGCAGAAUUCCAGGUGUAGCGGUGAAAUGCGUAGAUAUCUGGAGGAAUACCGGUGGCGAAGGCGGCAUCCUGGACCGGCAUUGACGCUGAGGAGCGAAAGCCAGGGGAGCAAACGGG